UACGACUCUCGGCAACGGAUAUCUCGGCCCCGGCAACGAUGAAGAACGUAGCGAAGUGCGAUACUUGGUGUGAAUUGCAGAAUCCCGUGAAUCAUUAAAUCUUUGAACGCAAGUUGCGCCCGAGGCCUCGGCCCAGGGCACGGCUGCCUGGGCGUCGCAUUUGAUAGGAACGCCCUCGCCCCUCUGUCGGGCGAUGGAGCGGAGUUGGCCAUCCGCGCCUUCAGUGUUCCGGUUGGCCGAAAUUGGUGCGGCAUACCCGUGGGUCUUGCAUCGGUGAGCGGUGGUUCUUCCCUCCGGUGGCCUGCCGAUCUUUCGAUCGCGCCGGUGUGAGAAAUGGGCGCGGUGCCCUCCUCCUCGCGACCACUCUGCCCGUCAACGCCCGGCGGUUCUUUGGCGAAUGUGCCGUCGGGCCGUGCUUUGCGACCCC
rnacentral:rRNA from 1 species